GGGAGUGCUGGGCUUUGAUAGAAUUUAAAAAUUAAAUACGCAGGUCGAGGAUAUCUCGUAACCUUGAAAUUCCGUCCCGCUCAGCGGGAUGCGACAAUCCCCGAGAUAAAGCAGAAAAUAACUGCCAAAACAAACUUAACUCCUGCUUUAGCUUUUGCUUAAGCAGCAUCGGUUGUCUGAUGUCUAAUAGGACAAUACCGGUGUCAACCAUUGGGCUUUAACUCGCUGAAUUCUUCGCUCCGAGUCGAACUAAAGAAGAAAUUGGAAAUUCCCCAUUUUGGCCGCUUUGAGGAGGAUUUUCAAAAAUUUAAACGGUCUAUCGCCUGUAGAAAUAUCUAAUUAAAAAAUUCUAGAUGCGAGUUCAACUCUCGCCACUUCCACUU
rnacentral:tmRNA from 1 species